rnacentral:rRNA from 1 species
UACGGGGGGGGGCAAGCGUUGUUCGGAAUUACUGGGCAUAAAGAGCACGUAGGUGGUCUGCUAAGUCGAACGUGAAAUCCCUGGGCUCAACCCAGGAACUGCGUCCGAUACUGGCAGGCUUGAAUCCGGGAGAGGGAUGUGGAAUUCCAGGUGUAGCGGUGAAAUGCGUAGAUAUCUGGAGGAACACCGGUGGCGAAGGCAGCUCGCUGGGACGGUACUGACGCUGAGGCGCGAAAGCGUGGGGAGCGAACAGG